rnacentral:rRNA from 1 species
GAUGAACGCUGCGGCGUGCCUAACACAUGCAAGUCGAGCGGCAGCGAAGGGUGCUUGCACCCUGUCGGCGAGCGGCGGACGGCUGAGUAACGCGUGGGAACGUGCCCCAAAGUGAGGAAUAACUGCCCGAAAGGGUAGCUAAUACCGCAUAUUAUCUUCGGAUCAAAGGAUUUAUCCGCUUUGGGAGCGGCCCGCGUCGGAUUAGGUAGUUGGUGAGGUAAUGGCUCACCAAGCCGACGAUCCGUAGCUGGUCUGAGAGGAUGACCAGCCAGACUGGAACUGAGACACGGUCCAGACUCCUACGGGAGGCAGCAGUGAGGAAUCUUCCACAAUGGGCGAAAGCCUGAUGGAGCAACGCCGCGUGCAGGACGAAGGCCUUCGGGUUGUAAACUGCUUUUAUAAGUGAGGAAUAUGACGGUAACUUAUGAAUAAGGAUCGGC